CUGUCAACAGGUGUCAAUGUGCUGUCAUGUGGAAAUUCCCAUUUUGCCCUCUCUUUGCAAUUUACCACUUUCACUUAACAUUGCAUUUGGUUAAUUAAGUGGAUUAAGCUUGGAUUAGUGCAACCUAUAUAUUCAUAAUCUCUUGCUAAUCAUAACAGAAUUUCAUUUCACCAAAAUUCAGAUCUGAAAACUCUCCAAUUCUCUCACAUUUUCUCAAGAACAUUCAAGAACACAUCACACAAAAACCACAAAAACUCUUCCAAUUCUUGAUGAAAUUCGGAAAUUCUUGUUGAUCCAAUCUUCAUUCCACUUCUUCCUCUACUGUUUUGACAAAGCAACUUCCAAAUCCUCAAGAUUCACAACUGUCCAAAGUAUGCUCAACAAUGGUGAAUUGGAAUUUCUCAUAAUUGGAGCAAAUUCGAGCUAGGCUAACACCUCCAUUCAUCUUCCCUAUCAUCAAGCUUGGACUGUUUUGAAGAAUCACAUCCAAAUUCAUCACGAAUCGCAACUGUCAUCAAACAAAGGUACUUUAGUUGCUCAGUUCCUUGUGAACUAUUGCUUUGCUUUGCUUUGCAUAAGCAAUUUGCAUUGAGGAUGAGACAGAACCAACAAUGGCCAUUCGAGCUGUGAAGGCUUCCAAGUACCAUUAAGCUUACUCACCUCAAGUUUUCAUCAUUUCAAGGCAUUGUGAACUCCUGUUUCGAGCUGCAUCCAUCAGAACAACAUUGUUUCAAUUUUUCUUCAAAACCAAGUAAAGUUUUGAAUUCCUUCUUUCUCUAAAUUAUGCUAUGUUUAUGAAAGGUCUUUUGAUGCUGAUUCUAAGGAACUAUGCCUUGCUUGAAAUGGUUGUGUUAUGAUGGAGAAAUCUGGAUUUCAUUUCUUGUACUCAAAUGUAUUUUUGCUCGGUUUGCCAUGCUUGCAGUGAUUUAAUGAAAUUUGAUGUUAUAUUUGUGAUGCUUGAUGUAUGCUGAUGCUUUUGAUAUGCUUACAUUUAAAUCCUGGGCAUUUUGAAUUUUCGAGUUGCAUGAAGGUGAUGAAGAUCAUGCUGUUUUGAAAACCCUAUUAUUUUUUCCCAGAAAACCCAGCUUCAUAUAUGCGUGUGUGUUGGUUGUUUUUGCUGCAUGAUAUCACCUCAUCAAUGCCCUGUUGUGUGAGUUUUUUCUUUUGGAAAUUUGUUGUUGGAUGAUGAACAUGAAUAUGCCCUGCUGUUCAUGAACUCUUUGAA